GAUGAACGCUGGCGGCGUGCCUAAUACAUGCAAGUCGAGCGAACAGACGAGGAGCUUGCUCCUCUGACGUUAGCGGCGGACGGGUGAGUAACACGUGGAUAACCUACCUAUAAGACUGGGAUAACUUCGGGAAACCGGAGCUAAUACCGGAUAAUAUAUUGAACCGCAUGGUUCAAUAGUGAAAGACGGUUUUGCUGUCACUUAUAGAUGGAUCCGCGCCGCAUUAGCUAGUUGGUAAGGUAACGGCUUACCAAGGCAACGAUGCGUAGCCGACCUGAGAGGGUGAUCGGCCACAAUGGAAAUGAGACACGGUCCAGACUCCUAAGGGAGGCAGCAGUAGGGAAUCUUCCGCCAUGGGCGAAAGCCUGACGGAGCAAAGCCGCGUGAGUGAUGAAGGUCUUCGGAUCGGAAAACUCUGUUAUUAGGGAAGAACAAAUGUGUAAGUAACUAUGCACGUCUUGACGGUACCUAAUCAGAAAGCCACGGCUAACUACGUG
rnacentral:rRNA from 1 species